rnacentral:rRNA from 1 species
UAGGGAAUCUUCCGCAAUGGACGAAAGUCUGACGGAGCAACGCCGCGUGAGUGAAGAAGGAUUUCGGUUCGUAAAACUCUGUUGUUAGGGAAGAAAAAAUGUAUAGUAACUAUAUACAAAAGAGACGGUACCUAACCAGAAAGCCACGGCUACCUACGUGCCAGCAGCCGCGGUAAUACGUAGGUGGCAAGCGUUGUCCGGAAUUAUUGGGCGUAAAGCGCGCGCAGGUGGUUUAGAAAGUCUGAUGGGAAAGCCCACGGCUCAACCGUGGAGGGUCAUUGGAAACUAAUAAACUUGAGUGCAGGAGAGAAAAGUGGAAUUCCUAGUGUAGCGGUGAAAUGCGUAGAGAUUAGGAGGAACACCGGUGGCGAAAGCGGCUUUUUGGCCUGCAACUGACACUGAGGCGCGAAAGCGUGGGGAGCAAACAGG